CAAGACCUUGCGCUUUUGGAGCGGCCGAUGCCUGAUUAGCUAGUUGGUGGSGURAAGSCCUACCAAGGCGUCSNUCAGUAGUUGGUCUGAGAGGACGACCAGCCACACUGGGACUGAGACACGGCCCAGACUCCUACGGGAGGCAGCAGUGGGGARUUUUGGACAAUGGGCGCAGGCCUGAUCCAGCAAUGCCGCGUGAGUGAAGAAGGCCUUCGGGUUGUAAAGCUCUUUCAGUCGAGAAGAAAAGAUUACGACUVAUAAUCGUAAUUCAUGACGGUACCGACAGAAGRAGCRCCGGCUAACUACGUGCCAGCAGCCGCGGUAAUACGUAGGGUGCGAGCGUUAAUCGGAAUUACUGGGCGUAAAGGGUGCGCAGGCGGCUUUGUAAGUCAGAUGUGAAAUCCCCGGGCUUAACCUGGGAACU
rnacentral:rRNA from 1 species